UCUUAUGGAUAUGGAAAGAAAGUGGUUUUUUGGGAUGGAAUCUACUUCUAGUGAAGAUGCUGUGAA
rnacentral:pre_miRNA from 1 species